GUGAGGAAUAUUGGACAAUGGGCGCAAGCCUGAUCCAGCCAUGCCGCGUGCAGGAAGACGCAUCUAUGGUGUGUAAACUGCUUUUGUACGGGAAGAAACACUCCCUCGUGAGGGAGCUUGACGGUACCGUAAGAAUAAGGAUCGGCUAACUCCGUGCCAGCAGCCGCGGUAAUACGGAGGAUCCAAGCGUUAUCCGGAAUCAUUGGGUUUAAAGGGUCCGUAGGCGGUUUAAUAAGUCAGUGGUGAAAGCCCAUCGCUCAACGAUGGAACGGCCAUUGAUACUGUUAGACUUGAAUUACAAGGAAGUAACUAGAAUAUGUAGUGUAGCGGUGAAAUGCUUAGAUAGUACAUGGAAUACCAAUUGCGAAGGCAGGUUACUACUUGUGGAUUGACGCUGAUGGACGAAAGCGUGGGGAGCGAACAGGAUUAGAUACCCCGGUAGUCC
rnacentral:rRNA from 1 species